GCAGAGUAGGAUCGGACGCGUCAAGUGCCAGCUGAACGGGGAGUUGUCAGCCGGACGAAAAGCGCAAGGCUUACGGUGUCCCUUCCGCAUCCCGUUG
rnacentral:ncRNA from 1 species